rnacentral:rRNA from 1 species
AUGAACGCUGGCGGCGUGCCUAAUACAUGCAAGUCGAGCGAACAGACGAGGAGCUUGCUCCUCUGACGUUAGCGGCGGACGGGUGAGUAACACGUGGAUAACCUACCUAUAAGACUGGGAUAACUUCGGGAAACCGGAGCUAAUACCGGAUAAUAUAUUGAACCGCAUGGUUCAAUAGUGAAAGACGGUUUUGCUGCCACUUAUAGAUGGAUCCGCCCCGCAUUAGCUAGUUGGUAAGGUAACGGCUUACCAAGGCGACGAUGCGUAGCCGACCUGAGAGGGUGAUCGGCCACACUGGAACUGAGACACGGUCCAGACUCCUACGGGAGGCAGCAGUAGGGAAUCUUCCGCAAUGGGCGAAAGCCUGACGGAGCAACGCCGCGUGAGUGAUGAAGGUCUUCGGAUCGUAAAACUCUGUUAUUAGGGAGGAACAAAUGUGUAAGUAACUAUGCACGUCUUGACGGUACCUAAUCAGAAAGCCACGGCUAACUACGUG